UAAUGCGAUCAUAUUAGGACGUAUGCAUUGGAUCCCGUCGGAACUCUGAAGUUAAGCGUGCUUGGAGAGAAUGGUAUUAAAAACUAGCUUUGUUGCAGGAU
rnacentral:rRNA from 1 species